rnacentral:rRNA from 1 species
AAUACCGCGUGACAACCCGAGGGGGCAUCCCUUGGGUUCAAAGGAGAGAUCCGGUACCGGCUGGGCAUGCGGCGCAUUAGCUAGUUGGCGGGGCAACGGCCCACCAAGGCGACGAUGCGUAGGGGUUCUGAGAGGAAGGUCCCCCACACUGGAACUGAGACACGGUCCAGACUCCUACGGGAGGCAGCAGUGAGGAAUAUUGGUCAAUGGGCGCAAGCCUGAACCAGCCAAGUCGCGUGAGGGAAGACGGCCCUACGGGUUGUAAACCUCUUUUGCCGGGGAGCAAGCCUGAGCACGUGUGCCCAGGCGGAGAGUACCCGGAGAAAAAGCAUCGGCUAACUCCGUGCCAGCAGCCGCGGUAAUACGGAGGAUGCGAGCGUUAUCCGGAUUUAUUGGGUUUAAAGGGUGCGCAGGCGGGCUGUUAAGCCGGCGGUAAAAAUUCAGGGCUCAACCCUGUCGAGCCGUCGGAACUGGCAGUCUUGAGUGGGCGAGAAGUAUGCGGAAUGCGUGGUGUAGCGGUGAAAUGCAUAGAUAUCACGCAGAACGCCGAUUGCGAAGGCAGCAUACCGGCGCCCAACUGACGCUGAGGCACGAAAGCGUGGGGAUCGAACAGGAUUAGAUACCCUGGUAGUCCACGCAGUAAACGAUGAGCGCUAACUGUCCGGAGCGAGCGAGCUCUGGGUGGUACAGU